CUAAAUAGGAUUCCCUCAGUAAUGGCGAAUGAACAGGGAUAAGCUCAGCAUGGAAAUUGGGGCCUCUGGCCUUGAAUUGUAGUCUUGAGAUGUGCUGCCAACGGAGGCGCAGAUGUAAGCCUCUUGGAAAAGAGCAUCAGGGAGGGUGAGAGUCCCGUGUGUCAUCUGCAGUUCUCCGUGCACGGUGCAUUUUCUAAGAGUCACGUUCCUCGGGAUUGGAGCGCAAAUUGGGUGGUAAAUUUCAUCUAAAGCUAAAUAUUGGUUCGAGACCGAUAGCAAACAAGUACCAUGAGGGAAAGGUGAAAAGGACUUUGAAAAGAGAGUUAAAAGUGCCUGAAAUUGCUGAAAGGGAAGCGAAUGGAACCAGUUGUUCUUGGCGAGUAUUGGUGUUGUCUAAGGUGAUGGCUUGCCACUUCAACGCAAGUGUGGUGGCAUGUUUUGAACUGGAUGCGAUACUGCUUCUCGCCUUGCGUGUCAACGUCAGUUCAUAAUUGAGGAAAACUCUAGGGACAUGGUAAUUUGCUUCCGGGUGACUGAAUGUGCCUAGUUGAACUCAUUUUUGAACUGCUCCCUCUAUGUCUGGUAGCAGUGCUCUGCGUGUUCAUCAGCACCAUCAUGCUGGCUCUGCCUGGCAUGAGGGUUGCUGGUGCCCAGAGCAUGUCCUUGACAUAAGUACGAUGACGAAAUGGUUUUAUUCGACCCGUCUUGAAACACGGACCAAGGAGUCUAACAUAUGUGCAAGUUCUCGGGUGGGAAAACCUGUUUGCGCAAUGAAAGUGACUGCUGGGAUAUCUGCACCAGCAACCGACCAAUCGAUUGUGAGAGGUUUGAGUAUGAGCAUAUCUGUUAGGACCCGAAAGAUGGUGAACUAUGCCUGAGAAGGGUGAAGUCAGGGGAAACUCUGAUGGAGGCUCGUAGCGAUACUGACGUGCAAAUCGUUCGUCAUACUUGGGUAUAGGGGCGAAAGA
rnacentral:rRNA from 1 species